rnacentral:rRNA from 1 species
UACGUAGGGUGCGAGCGUUGUCCGGAAUUAUUGGGCGUAAAGAGCUUGUAGGCGGUUUGUCGCGUCUGCUGUGAAAAUCCGGGGCUCAACCCCGGACUUGCAGUGGGUACGGGCAGACUAGAGUGCGGUAGGGGUGACUGGAAUUCCUGGUGUAGCGGUGGAAUGCGCAGAUAUCAGGAAGAACACCCGUGGCGAAGGCGGCUCUCUGGGACGGUACUGACGCUGAGACGCGAAAGCGUGGGGAGCGAACAGG